rnacentral:rRNA from 1 species
CAAUAGCCACGGUAAUACAGAGGGUGCGAGCGUUAAUCGGAUUUACUGGGCGUAAAGCGUGCGUAGGCGGCUUUUUAAGUCGGAUGUGAAAUCCCUGAGCUUAACUUAGGAAUUGCAUUCGAUACUGGGAAGCUAGAGUAUGGGAGAGGAUGGUAGAAUUCCAGGUGUAGCGGUGAAAUGCGUAGAGAUCUGGAGGAAUACCGAUGGCGAAGGCAGCCAUCUGGCCUAAUACUGACGCUGAGGUACGAAAGCAUGGGGAGCAAACAGGAUUAGAUACCCGGGUAGUCCCUGUCUCUUAUAC